rnacentral:rRNA from 1 species
AUUGAACGCUGGCGGCAUGCUUUACACAUGCAAGUCGAACGGUAACAGCACUUCGGUGGCUGACGAGUGGCGAACGGGUGAGUAAUACAUCGGAACGUGCCUAGUAGUGGGGGAUAACUACUCGAAAGAGUAGCUAAUACCGCAUGAGAUCUAAGGAUGAAAGCAGGGGACCUUCGGGCCUUGCGCUACUAGAGCGGCUGAUGGCAGAUUAGGUAGUUGGUGGGAUAAAAGCUUACCAAGCCGACGAUCUGUAGCUGGUCUGAGAGGACGACCAGCCACACUGGGACUGAGACACGGCCCAGACUCCUACGGGAGGCAGCAGUGGGGAAUUUUGGACAAUGGGCGCAAGCCUGAUCCAGCAAUGCCGCGUGCAGGAUGAAGGCCUUCGGGUUGUAAACUGCUUUUGUACGGAAAGAAAAGCCCUCGUCUAAUACAGGAGGGUCAUGACGGUACCGUAAGAAUAAGCACCGGCUAACUACGUG